GAAGGUAGUUCUGUAGGUUAGAAUGACAAGACACUAGUUAGUAAUUCUAAUCCACAAAACUAAAUGCAGUAAAUAAAGAGCACAGCCUAAGUGUACAGUGCUUGUAAAGUCUGCAGUAGCGUACAGUAAUGUCCAAGGCUUUCACAUCCACUCACCACUCGCUCACUGACCCAGCCAGAGCAACUUCCAGUCCUGAAAGCUGCAUUCAUGCAAGCUUCCCAGGAGAUUCUUAGAUUCCUGCUAACAAAAGGCGGAGACUCACUGGACAGUUACUGAAGAUAGACAGUAGGGGGCGGAAGGGCCCACGCUUCUUUGAUAUUGGUGGCUUUGGUUUUUCAGUGACGGGGGACACUUUG